rnacentral:rRNA from 1 species
AUUGAACGCUGGCGGCAGGCCUAACACAUGCAAGUCGAACGAGUGGCGGACGGGUGAGUAAUGUCUGGGAAACUGCCCGAUGGAGGGGGGUAACUACUGGAAACGGUAGCUAAUAACGCAUACCAUCGGAUGUGCCCAGAUGGGAUUAGCUAGUAGGUGGGGUAACGGCUCACCUAGGCGACGAUCCCUAGCUGGUCUGAGAGGAGGAACAGCAAAGCGGGAACUAGGACCCGGGCCAGACUCUUACGGGAGGCAGCAGUGGGGAAUAUUGCACAAGGGGCGCAAGCCUGAUGCAGCCAUGCCGCGUGUAUGAAGAGGGCCUUCGGGUUGUAAAGUACUUUCAGCGAGGAGGCGUUACUCGCAGAAGAAGCACCGGCUAACUCCGUGCCAGCAGCCGCGGUAAUAC